CUCCCCACAGCAAAAAAAAUUUUCAGUCAUCCCUGACAAAAAUGCCUUUAAGAGAGAGUCAGGCAUCAUGGCUCACAUGUGUAAUGACAGCUACAUGGUACAGUGAGGUUGGAGAAUUUCUGCAGCCCAGGAUUUCAAGAGCAGCCCAGGUGAUAAGCAAGACCCCAUCUCCAACGUGCAUGCCUUUAAGAGUGCUUUGAGACCCAGGGAGGGAGCUGUGAAACUCUGCUGAAGCCCAACAUUGAGGAGUGGUCCUUUUCAGAGGGCAGGUCCUCAUUCAGGAGGGAAACUACAGAAUCCCUGGUCUUACAGAUUAAGAAAUGGCCCAACCAACCUGGUCCCACUGAGAAUUCUGAAGUUAACUCUGUAACCAUCCCAACCUUCUCCCAGUUAGUCUAGGAGAGGUCCUGCCCUUCGGGAGACUUGGAGGAAGAUAUCUAUUUGCAGCCAUGCAGGCAGGCCUACAGACCUUGUUUUCACUGUGGUCCCUAAAGCAGUUCAAUGACUCAGUCCAGCUCUCUGAGCCACAGUUCAUGACCAGUUUUGCCUAAAUAUAAACCCGCACAAUGACCUGAGGAAACCCUCUCUGGUACUCAUUGAAAGCCAUACUCAUUUACAUCCUGAUACAAGGGCCAUUAUAUAUGGACCCGACUACAGAAACGUGCCCUACAGAUCAAAAUCCUGAAGGAUAUUCAAUCUGUC